rnacentral:rRNA from 1 species
CGCUGGCGGCAGGCCUAACACAUGCAAGUCGAACGGGAUCUUCGGAUCUAGUGGCGGACGGGUUAGUAACGCGUGGGAACGUACCCUUUUCUACGGAAUAGCCUCGGGAAACUGAGAGUAAUACCGUAUACGCCCUUCGGGGGAAAGAUUUAUCGGAGAAGGAUCGGCCCGCGUAAGAUUAGAUAGUUGGUGGGGUAAUGGCCUACCAAGUCUACGAUCUUUAGCUGGUUUGAGAGGAUGAUCAGCAACACUGGGACUGAGACACGGCCCAUACUCCUACGGGAGGCAGCAGUGGGGAAUCUUAGACAAUGGGGGAAACCCUGAUCUAGCCAUGCCGCGUGAGUGACGAAGGCCUUAGGGUCGUAAAGCUCUUUCGCUGGGGAAGAUAAUGACUGUACCCAGUAAAGAAACCCCGGCUAACUCCGUGCCAGCAGCCGCGGUAAUACGGAGGGGGUUAGCGUUGUUC